rnacentral:rRNA from 1 species
UGCCAGCAGCCGCGGUAAUACAGGGGAUGCAAGUGUUAUCCGGAAUUAUUGGGCGUAAAGCGCCUGCAGGUGGAUAUUUAAGUCUUUUGUUAAAUCUUUGAGCUUAACUCAAAACAUGCAAAAGAAACUAAUUAUCUAGAGUAUGGUAGAGGUAAAGGGAAUUUCCAGUGGAGCGGUGAAAUGCGUAGAGAUUGGAAAGAACACCAAUGGCGAAGGCACUUUACUGGGCCAGUACUGACACUGAGGGGCGAAAGCUAGGGGAGCAGACAGGAUUAGAUACCCUGGUAGUCC